GGAGAUGUGGCCGAGUGGUUGAAGGCGCACGACUCGAAAUCGUGUGGGCCGAAAGGUCUCGGGGGUUCGAAUCCCUUCAUCUCCGCCA
rnacentral:tRNA from 1 species